GACGUAGGGCGCGAGCGUUGUCCGGAUUUAUUGGGCGUAAAGAGCUCGUAGGCGGCUUGUCGCGUCGACUGUGAAAAACCCGCAGCUCAACUGUGGGCUUGCAGCUGAUACGGGCGGGCUGGGAUUCGGUAGGGGAGACUGGAAUUCCUGGUGUAGCGGUGAAAUGCGCAGAUAUCAGGAGGAACACCGGUGGCGAAGGCGGGGUCUCUGGGGCCGAUACUGACGCUGAGGAGCGAAAGCGUGGGGAGCGAACAGG
rnacentral:rRNA from 1 species